rnacentral:rRNA from 1 species
AGUGAACGUUGGCGGCAUGCUUUACACAUGCAAGUCGAACGGUAACAGGCCGCAAGGUGCUGACGAGUGGCGAACGGGUGAGUAAUGCAUCGGAACGUGCCCAGUCGUGGGGGAUAACGCAGCGAAAGCUGCGCUAAUACCGCAUACGAUCUAUGGAUGAAAGCGGGGGACCGUAAGGCCUCGCGCGAUUGGAGCGGCCGAUGUCAGAUUAGGUAGUUGGUGGGGUAAAGGCUCACCAAGCCAACGAUCUGUAGCUGGUCUGAGAGGACGACCAGCCACACUGGGACUGAGACACGGCCCAGACUCCUACGGGAGGAAGCAGUGGGGAAUUUUGGACAAUGGGCGCAAGCCUGAUCCAGCAAUGCCGCGUGCAGGAAGAAGGCCUUCGGGUUGUAAACUGCUUUUGUACGGAACGAAACGGUCCUGGUUAAUACCUGGGGCUAAUGACGGUACCGUAAGAAUAAGCACCGGCUAACUACGUGCCAGCAGCCGCCGUAAGAC